AGUAUUUAUCGGAGUAAUAUACUAGCAAAUAAUAAACAAACAUAAGCUUGAAAAAUAAUAUAAUGUUAGUCAAAAUGGAAUAAUAAACUAGCAAAUAAUACGAUAACAUCAAGAAUGAAGAACCAUCUACGCAUCUACAUAAUUAUUGUUUAAUCAUGAGAUUCAUAAACUAACUUACUAAGUUGAUAUUUAGUAGUUAUGAGCCAUUAUCAAUAUCCAUAAACAAACAUAAGCUAAUCACCAAUCAACCAAGUUCCAAAAGCAACAAAUAGUUCAUAAUUUGUAAACAUUCAAAGAGCAAAUCCAAAAGAAAGUAAAAGCUCCCAAAUCCUACUUAUCGGCCGAUAAAACCGAUAUUUAGAGCCUACUUAUCGGCUGAUAAGUACAUUUAUCGUCGAUAACUCGCGAUAAACCUCAAAAAACGAUAACCAAAUAAAAAUCCUACUUAUCCUAGCGGAAAGCUCCCAAAUCCGAUAACUCGGCGAUAAUAUCGGAUUAUCGGCCGAUAUUUAAAACCAUGAUUAUAUAUGCACAUCAUCUGAUAUGACACUUCGAUAUUUUCUGAAAAUCCCCAAUAUUUCCUCGAUAUCUACAAUCCAAUAUGAAUUUUGGUUGUUGAUAUUUCCCUGAUAUUAGAUAUUUAAAACCUUGGGCAUAAGUGCUUGGUUGCUGUCUCUUGUGUUCUCACUGAGAAUUUUUUUAGUUAAACACUUCCAGAAGAUCUUUGCUGUGUAUAAACUUUUCAUGCUUUUGGUAUUAGUUGUGCACUCACUGCAAUCUUGUAACAGUAAGUUCAUGCUCUGUACUGUUGAAGGUCUUCACACCUACAUGAACACAAUCAUACACACAUUACUUUUUGUAUGUCUGUGAUUUCCUGAUGAUAACGUAUCACGCUUUUCUCAUUACUUUACUUGGUGAUGUCAUUUUUGUUAUACUUUGCAGGAAAUGGGGUUGUUGGAAGUUAAACAUGGGCUUCUUCAGAUCUGCAGAAACUUUAGACUUUCUUCAUAACAAUGCAUGUCUCAUACUCAUUCAUUGAGCUAUAGCUCCUGAAGUUAUAUUUUUUUAUCCAAUAAACAUGCUUCGCCAGUUUUACAUGGGUUCCUUGACUAUGUUGAGUACUUGUUCCUAUAGCCUGGUGACAGUACACACAUUUUGUCCUUUUCCUCUUCUUAAUUCUGUUUGACAAGUUUUGUUGUUUUUACAUGGUUGUUUGAGGGCUAGUUCACUGUUCUACAUUGAAGUUCGUCAUUCUUAAAAUCUUUGAGAUGCAAGUUUUUAACAGAAUAUGCACAUUCUCAUGUAGUCAUAUUCAAUUAUCAAGUCAGCAUAAUAUAUUAAUGGUUAAGAGGAUUCCAUGGAUCAUCAAUUUGAAUUAUCAAUAUAAAUAACUGUAACAUAAAGUGGUGGAGCAACUAUCCCGAGUUAUAAUGUUAUUGGAGCAUGAAUCGUUUACGAGCUUAACCCAAAUGCUUCCUGUAGUGGCCUUGGCCUUGGAUCUGUCAGUUAAUUUAGAUGCUAUACAUUUUGCCUAGGUUUUGAUUGAGCCUUAGGUCAGAUCUAGAUUAGGUACCUUCAGGGUUUGUGCCAAGGUAAACUACAAGCUUACUUUUAUUCUUUUCUUUUAGAUUUUUGAAGAUUAUAUCUGAGUUUUUUUUUUUUUUUUUGGCAAUUGCACUAUCGACCAACCCAUUUAUGUUUUCUGAUCUUGAAAGCAGUCUGAAGUAGGAUAUUUCAUCUUUGACCUAUUAAUUGUGUACCCCUUAUAAUGUUAGGCAGUAUUUAGGACUUCUACUGGAGCUUGGAAGCUAGGCGGUUUCGGAUUUGCUACCUCUGUUGACCAGGUAUCAACUGGUUCAACUUCCAUGCAACCAUUUAAUUAUCCAGUAAGUAUUUUCAUGUCUCACUUAUUAUUUCUUGUGCUCUAUAAUUUUGCUUCAAAAUUGCACAACUAGACAUGUUGGAAAAGUCCUGACGUGAUAGAAGUAAACUCACACUCUUGGUAAUGCUGAGGACUUGAACACCUAACUGUUGGCGGCAAAAAAGAGAAGGAAAAAAGAAGAUAAAAAAAAUCAAAUGGUUAAUGAUUACUUUGUAUCUUUCCAGGAGUAUGAUGUUGAGGAUGCUAUUUUACCCCUUCAGCCAUCACUAAAUUACACUGCACCUGAACUGGUACGAAAUAAAGAACUCGCUGCUGGAUGUUCUUCUGACAUAUUUAGUUUUGGUUGUUUCACGUACUAUCUAAUCACUCGCAAGCCCCUUCUGGAUUGUCAUAACAAUGUAAAGAUGGUAAGUUUCAAUUCUUUAUACUAUCUGAAUAGUACUAUACUUUGUACGGAGAUGAUAGCCUGUGAUAUUAUUGUUCAUACAUACAUGAUCUCUAUAAUUUGCUCUGAUUCAUAUGUUUCAUCUUUAAAGGCUUUUACCUAUACAUAAGCAUCUGAUUGCAGGCAGAACUUGCGUGUAAUGUUUUCUUUGUCAUGGAAUCUGUGGAUAGUUGCUUCGGGAAAUACAUUCACUAUAGUGUGCUUUUUUUCAAUGUUAAUAACCUGUAACUUUCAUAUUUAAUAGGUACGUUUUUGUAAUGGAUGGAUUACUUAGUUAUCAAUGAGUAUAUGAAUAGAUUGACAUACUUGUCUAGUGAGGCUUUCUCUAUGAUUCCUUCAGAGUUGGUUGGAGAUUUGCAAAGAAUGUCAUCCCUGGAUGAGGCUUCUAGACCAAGUGCUUUGGAUAUCACAGGCUAGUAAUCAGGACCUUAUUUCACAAGUCCCGCCAUUGCCUGUUCAAGCUUAUGAUGAUAUUGAUGCUCGUAUGCAAGAUGAGGUUUCUCAAAGAACCGUCACCCUUGCAAGACAACUUGACAUGCAGACUUCAACCAGGUGCAAGUGAAUGCUCUCUGCUGCUUAGCUGAUUUGGUUCCAUCACUCGACAAACAUGCUAUAUUGGACAUCUUGCAAACAUUGCAGCGUCAUACUGCUGUCGACCGCUCUGCACCUGCUCUUAUGUGCCAGUGCCCCCUGGGAGUUUCAAAUUCAAUUUUUAAACAGUUCUUCAGUGUGGCAUAUAAUUUGCUGCAGAGCAAGUCCUUCCCCUCCUUUGCCCUCUGCUUACUGCACAGCAACUAACCAUUCAGCAAUUCUCAAAGUAAAUGCUUUUUGUGAGGGACAUGUUGAGAAAGAUUGAAGAUAGAAGGAGGCUUGACCGUUUCUGAUGCCAGUCCUCCUAUAGUUAAGAGUCUUGACUUCAAUGUGUAAUGGGCUUUAAUCUGAACCAAAUCAGAAGGCAACCAUACCUGUUUCUUCAUCAAAGAACAGCACAACAUGGGAUGAAGAUUGGGGUUCUCAAUAACCGAAGUGACAACUACCCCAUCUGUUCCUUUGGAACCCAAUCCACAACCCAUUCGACCAAUGCCAAUUUCACAGCCUUCUACAGUUACUGCUUCAUCAACAGUUAGCCACCAACCUUCAUCAUUUACACCAGUCAACGUUGAGUGGCCGCCUCCAAUUUCUUCCACUACUUUCCUCCCACUUGAAUACUAAUGAGAAAGAGACGCAGAAUUCUGGGGGCCUUUCUGAAGGUAGUUUUGACGAUUUAGAUCCUUUUGCUAAUUGGCCUCCAAAACCUUGUAUUUCAGCCAGCAGCACGCAUGGCUUAGGCUUUGUAAGCAACAAUGAUCCAAAUGUAACUAUCAAAUUCAUACGAAGGUAGCUCAGUUUCUGGUACCAACAAAGCAACUGGUGCUAAUUUAAGACAUU